AUUGAACGCUGGCGGCAUGCCUUACACAUGCAAGUCGAACGGUAACGGGCCUUCGGGUGCCGACGAGUGGCGAACGGGUGAGUAAUACAUCGGAACGUGCCCGAUCGUGGGGGAUAACGCGGCGAAAGCUUUGCUAAUACCGCAUACGAUCUACGGAUGAAAGCAGGGGACCGCAAGGCCUUGCGCGGACGGAGCGGCCGAUGGCGGAUUAGGUAGUUGGUGGGAUAAAAGCUUACCAAGCCGACGAUCUGUAGCUGGUCUGAGAGGAUGAUCAGCCACACUGGAACUGAGACACGGCCCAGACUCCUACGGGAGGCAGCAGUGGGGAAUUUUGGACAAUGGGCGCAAGCCUGAUCCAGCCAUGCCGCGUGCAGGAUGAAGGCCUUCGGGUUGUAAACUGCUUUUGUACGGAACGAAAAGCCUUCUUUUAAUACAGGAGGGUCAUGACGGUACCGUAAGAAUAAGCACCGGCUAACUACGUG
rnacentral:rRNA from 1 species